AUUGAACGCUGGCGGCAGGCCUAACACAUGCAAGUCGAACGAGUGGCGGACGGGUGAGUAAUGUCUGGGAAACUGCCUGAUGGAGGGGGAUAACUACUGGAAACGGUAGCUAAUACCGCAUACCAUCGGAUGUGCCCAGAUGGGAUUGGCUAGUAGGUGGGGUAACGGCUCACCUAGGCGACGAUCCCUUGCUGGUCUGAGAGGAUGACCAGACACACGGGAACUGAGACACGGUCCAGAUUCCUACGGGAGGCAGCGUUGGGGAAUAUUGCACAAUGGGCGCAAGCGUGAUGCAGCCAUGCCGCAUGUAUGAAGAAGGCCUUCGGGUUGUAAAGUACUUUCAGCGAGGAGGCGUUACUCGCAGAAGAAGCAGCGGCUAACACCGUGCCAGCAGCCGCGGUAAUUC
rnacentral:rRNA from 1 species